rnacentral:lncRNA from 1 species
UGCAUUUAAAACUUUGACCGUUUGACGUAUCUUCUUAUCUAGUUUGUCUCCUUCAUUUUUUAUUUUUCCCUAUCAAUCUUCCCCAAUCGGUCACUAUCGUAAACCGAGAUCCCUUUUUGUUUUACUCUUUUUCUUAAUUAAUUUAAAAAAUUUGUGCAUUUUUUAAUGCAAGGCAGUAGGGAAACUUUUCGACAAAUUAUAUAUGUUUUUUUAGUUUUAAGGGUAAGAAUGAUAAUAAGUUUGAUC